rnacentral:rRNA from 1 species
GACGUAGGGCGCGAGCGUUGUCCGGAUUUAUUGGGCGUAAAGAGCUCGUAGGCGGUCUGUCGCGUCGGCUGUGAAAUCCCGAGGCUCAACCUCGGGUCUGCAGUCGAUACGGGCAAACUAGAGUAUUGCAGGGGAGACUGGAAUUCCUGGUGUAGCGGUGAAAUGCGCAGAUAUCAGGAGGAACACCGGUGGCGAAGGCGACUACCUGGCCUGUUCUUGACGCUGAGGCGCGAAAGCUAGGGGAGCAAACGGG